AAAAGGGAGGGCUAUCUGCAGUCGAGCGAACUGAUUAGAAGCUUGCUUCUAUGACGUUAGCGGCGGACGGGUGAGUAACACGUGGGCAACCUGCCUGUAAGACUGGGAUAACUUCGGGAAACCGAAGCUAAUACCGGAUAGGAUCUUCUCCUUCAUGGGAGAUGAUUGAAAGAUGGUUUCGGCUAUCACUUACAGAUGGGCCCGCGGUGCAUUAGCUAGUUGGUGAGGUAACGGCUCACCAAGGCAACGAUGCAUAGCCGACCUGAGAGGGUGAUCGGCCACACUGGGACUGAGACACGGCCCAGACUCCUACGGGAGGCAGCAGUAGGGAAUCUUCCGCAAUGGACGAAAGUCUGACGGAGCAACGCCGCGUGAGUGAUGAAGGCUUUCGGGUCGUAAAACUCUGUUGUUAGGGAAGAACAAGUACGAGAGUAACUGCUCGUACCUUGACGGUACCUAUCCAGAAAGCCACGGCUAACUACGUGCCAGCAGCCGCGGUAAUACUUAUGUGGCAAGCGUUAUCCGGCAAUUAUCGUGCGUAAAUCGCGCGCAUGCUGUUUCUUAAGACUGAUGUGACAGCACGCUGGUCUUCCGUGGAGGAGCCUUUGAAGUUGAAUAACUCUACGGCCUCCCACCACUACGAUAUUCUAUAUUAUACGUUUCAAUCGUUUAUACUGGCCUAGCAAGCUAUUAUUUAUCUAAUACCCUUUUCUCCCUUCAAUCUUGUUAUCUUCACACUUCCUGAUCUAUCUGGCCGCCAUCUGCAUUUUUAUUGCUUUAUCUCCCCAGCGUACUAUCCAUUACACGUAUUGCG
rnacentral:rRNA from 1 species